rnacentral:rRNA from 1 species
CUACGGGGGGCAGCAGUGGGGAAUAUUGCACAAUGGAGGAAACUCUGAUGCAGCAACGCCGCGUGGAGGAUGACACUUUUCGGAGCGUAAACUCCUUUUAUAUAGGAAGAAGAUGACGGUACUAUAUGAAUAAGCGCCGGCUAACUCCGUGCCAGCAGCCGCGGUAAUACGGAGGGCGCAAGCGUUACUCGGAAUCACUGGGCGUAAAGAGCGUGUAGGCGGAUUAAAAAGUCAGAAGUGAAAUCCUAUAGCUUAACUAUAGAACUGCUUCUGAAACUCUUAAUCUAGAAUAUGGGAGAGGUAGAUGGAAUUUCUGGUGUAGGGGUAAAAUCCGUAGAGAUCAGAAGGAAUACCGAUUGCGAAGGCGAUCUACUAGAACAUUAUUGACGCUGAGACGCGAAAGCGUGGGGAGCAAACAGGAUUAGAUACCCUGGUAGUC